GACGAACGCUGGCGGCGUGCUUAACACAUGCAAGUCGAGCGGUAAGGCCCUUUCGGGGGUACACGAGCGGCGAACGGGUGAGUAACACGUGGGUGACCUGCCCUCAGCUCUGGGAUAAGCCUGGGAAACCGGGUCUAAUACCGGAUAUGACUCCAUGACGCAUGUUGUGGGGUGGAAAGCCUUGUGCGGCUGGGGAUGGGCCCGCGGCCUAUCAGCUUGUUGGUGGGGUGAUGGCCUACCAAGGCGACGACGGGUAGCCGGCCUGAGAGGGCGACCGGCCACACUGGGACUGAGACACGGCCCAGACUCCUACGGGAGGCAGCAGUGGGGAAUCUUGCGCAAUGGGCGAAAGCCUGACGCAGCGACGCCGCGUGAGGGAUGACGGCCUGGU
rnacentral:rRNA from 1 species